UCGUAUGUUGUGGUUGUUGUUUUGAUUUUUUAUUUCAAAGUUUAUAUAGUGUGUGUAAACAUUGGAUUGUUUGGUGCAGAUUUUAAUGACGGCUUUGCUUGAGAAGCUCAUGGUUUCAAGCCUAACAGAGGCUAUUGCAUCCAAGGUAUCAUGUGUAACCUGACAGUAGCUACUCCUAAAUUAUCAGAUCAUGUCUUGUGUCUAUGAGUGUAGAUUAUCAUGGUCUUUCAUUAGCAGUCUGACUUUUGGAAGACAGUGAUAGUUGUGAUCGGCAAUCUGAUUGUCUAAGAGAUGCUAAGAGUUGAAAAUCUUCCAGCUAAGCCUGAUGAACCAUUGUACGAUAUGUAUGCUUGAUAAGUUUUUCCUUCUAAUAUGUGUAGCAGAAUGAAUUCUGGGCAUUGGCUUGUUUAGUAGCAAUUCCUUGCAAAAUUAUUUCUAUUUAGUAUUUUAUCUGCAUGGUGUUACCAGGUUACAACUUACCAGAUCAUAGAACCUGCGGAUAGUGACAUGAUGCUGGCAGGAGGACUGCAAUUUCCAAAGGUUUAGGUUCACUGUUAUGAGGAAUAGAAAAUGCUGAAUUUUGCAAUUAUAUUGUGUACUGCCUUCUUAUAAUUAAAUAAUGUGUUUUUUCGAGGACUUCUUGUGGUGCGAUUAAACCUUGUUUUUGGCACCUCGCUGACAAAGAUUAUGCCGCUGUUAUAAGCCCAUCCAGGGAUGAUCACGGCAUCACCGGUUGGAUGGGUUUGAAGAUUCUUUACAAGGGUAGUAAAUAUCCAAGUUGUUAAUGUUGUUAUCAGAUUUCCCCAAGAAUGCUGAAACAUAUGUCCACACGAACAUAAGGGACGGAGGUGGCCAGUGUCUAUUAAACUUGUUUGACGCUGAAACAUACUAUUCUGAUCUCAUGCUUAACAAGUUCAUUAUAUGCCACCGCCAGUCUAAGUGAAAACUACCAUAAAUAGGUAGGUGUUUUCUUCUUAUAGUGUUCUGGAUGAUAGGUGAUAAGUUAGGUUAGCAAGGAAGGAUUAAUCAACCUUUUCGUGAAAUGGUGUGCAUAGAAAAUGUCUUUAUCAGUCUGACACUUCUAAUUACUCUUCAAUAUUAUAUCAUUCAUAUCGGCAUAAGUUGACUGAACAUGUUCUAAGAAUAAUAAGUCAAGCCCAUAAUUUACUUGGUUUUGUGUGGCUUUGUUCUCCAUUGCUUGGUUAAUUCUUAUUUCUAGACAAUUGAUUCUGGACUUAUUGAGGUUGUGUUAUUUCAGCCCACACAUGAGUUUUUUAUAGUCGGUACUAUACUUUACAUCCUUUACUCAUAAAAUGGGAGGUGGUUACUGUUACCAGCUAGGUGCAAAGGAUUCUGACAUAGUGGACCUUGUUGUCCUGCUCAAGGAUCCAAUUUCGGUUUACUGAUUUCAGUAUUGCAACUGGAUAUUGGAUUCAACUUCUAUAUUCUUUGAAGUUCAAGACCCAUCCCUCCUUCCUUCUAAGUCUGACACAGUUUCUAAGUCAAAAAUUAACAUGGAUCCAUGAUCAAGAUAUCCAUGUUAAUUUUUGACUUGCACUUGCAUCUGAUCGGAUAUGCAAUUCCAGUCAUAUGCCUCCUUUCUUGCUACUGCCUACAGUUUUGUCAGCGGGUGGUGGUAGUCACCAUUGUGUGGCUCCAUGGUUGGUCCCGUUUGGUGCCCAGCUGCCUGAUGUUGUUCUU